rnacentral:rRNA from 1 species
AAUCAACGCUGGCGGCGUGCCUCAGACAUGCAAGUCGAACGCGAAAGUUUCCUUCGGGGAACAAGUAGAGUGGCGCACGGGUGAGUAACACGUAGGUAAUCUACCUUUGGAUGGGGAAUAACAACCGGAAACGGUUGCUAAUACCGCAUAAUGCAGCGGCACCUAAUGGUGACAGUUGUUAAAGCGGGGGAUCGAAAGACCUCGCGUCUGAAGAGGAGCCUGCGGCGGAUUAGCUAGUUGGUAAGGUAAUGGCUUACCAAGGCGACGAUCCGUAACCGGCCCGAGAGGGCGGUCGGUCACACUGACACUGACAUACGGGUCAGACUCCUACGGGAGCAGCAGUCGGGAAUUUGGGCAAUGGGCGAAAGCCUGACCCAGCAACGCCGCGUGAAGGAUGAAAUCCCUCGGGA